UAGUAUGGGGAUCUGCCCGAUAGAGGGGGAUAACUACUGGAAAGGGGUGGAUAAUACGCAUAAUGUCUACGGACCAAAGCAGGGGCUCUUCGGACCUUGCACUAUCGGAUGAACCCAUAUGGGAUUAGCUAGUAGGUGGGGUAAAGGCUCACCUAGGCGACGAUCUCUAGCUGGUCUGAGAGGAUGAUCAGCCACACUGGGACUGAGACACGGCCCAG
rnacentral:rRNA from 1 species